GAUGAAGAACGCAGCGAAAUGCGAUAAGUAAUGUGAAUUGCAGAAUUCAGUGAAUCAUCGAAUCUUUGAACGCACAUUGCGCCCAUUAGUAUUCUAUUGGGCAUGCCUGUUCGAGCGUCAUUUUGACCACUUAAGCCUGGCUUAGUGUUGGGAAUCUACGUCUGUAGUUCCUUAAAUCUAGUGGCGGAGCCGCAGUGGCCUCUGAGCGUAGUAAUUUUUUCUCGCUUCUGAAAGUACUGUAGUUUUUGCCAUUAAACCCCCAAUUUUUUAAGGUUGACCUCGGAUCAGGUAGGAAUACCCGCUGAACUUAAGCAUAUCAAUAAGCGGAGGA
rnacentral:misc_RNA from 1 species